GCUGAGGUCGCCGGGUCAGCUUCCCCGGCCCAGUGCCCAGCGGGAUGAAGACGCCGGGCCCCGGGCAUCCCCAGGUUUGGAAUUAGGAUUAGGCGUUGGAGUUAACCGGACUCCGCGGAGUUCCGGGGACCCGGAGACAGCAUGAGUCUCAGCGCGCAGUCAGCAGAGGCGGUCCUGGCGCCAGGGACCCUGAUGUCUGAGGAAGAAGGUUCACAUCCAACUCUGCCCCUGGUGUGUCACGUGCCGGCCUUGUCAACGCACACGAGAACCUGACAGGGUCCCAUGGAAUUCAGACAAGGAAGUAAAGCAAAUGAGAAUGGCCCACAGGGGAGCAGUUCAAAUGCGCAGAAAAAGAUAGAGCAGCCCCAAUGAGGAAGGAAGGCUGGACAAGAAAUGGAUUUGUAGGGAAGACAAUGUGCACCCAUCGGAGCUCUGAUUGCUUUACUUUCACUACCCUCCCCUGCCCACUAACAUCGAAAAAGUAUCAAUGAUUUGUGAACAUGGCAUAUGGCAUACGAACACCCUGAGAGUAGGAUCGUGGGGCAUCCGAUGGUGAUUGUCCUUAGAGUUGGUGGGGGCCCAGCUUCCCGCUGUCUGUGAACUGCUGCGUGCAGAAUCGGUGUCUUCUUUAACUUCACAACGAUGCCACAAGGCAAAUAGCAUUGUCUUCACUUUCUGUGUAAGAAAACUAAGGCUGGGUGAGAGUAUGCAGAGCUGGAUCAUGGAUUUGUUUGGCUCCUUCUAGUUUGAAAACCUAAGUUAAAAGCUGAGAUCGUGAGGAUUUCCAGGGACUCCUGCCACCAGCUCAUCUCACAUCAUCAUUUACAUGGAAAUGUUGGGACUGAGGUGACCUCAUGCCUCUCAAUUCCCAGCCAGCCUUCUCUCCCUCUGGCUCCUAGCCAGCCUGUUAAACAGAAAAAAUAAGUGAGACAAAUAAAAAACACCCUAGUGUUCUAACAAGUUACACAUAAUUGCUUGCUUACCAAUUGUCUACCUCAGAACUUUGUUUUCCUCUUAGAGUCAAUAUAAUCAUUAAAUUCAGCUUCUGCCAUUUUACAGUCUGAGAUGCGGGACUUUGCAUAGGGCAUGGAUGGGUUUCCACAGUCCACACGAGGAUGGGAGGAGAGCAGGGCAGACCCAGCCACACUCAGUGAGAGUUCUGGCUGGAGUUACUUGGCUGGACAUCACUCCAGAGAGAGGAGACCUUCUUCUGGACCAGCUACCAAGACAGCCCCUAGUUGGAAAAUCUUUUCUUCUAAGGUGAGAUGCAGCCCCCACUGGAGAGGAAAACACCAGAGAGUUUUUAAAAAGGAAAAACCAAGGUAAGCUGAGGAGCUUCUUGACAGGAGACACAGCGGAGUCCACGCAACUGGGGUGAAUCUCUGCAGUUCCCCAACAGGACGGCGGGAGGGAGCCCCAAGACACUGGCCCCUGCAGUGUGGGAGCAGUGUGAGCCAUCUGCAGUGACAUUGUCUCCUCUGGCAGCAGCCUCCAUCCCGAAAUCCAUCUCAGGGUCUGUCCUUACAGGAACCUGAUGCCAGAGCUGUGCGCUCAAAGUAUUUGGACACAGGUAUUCUGUGUAACUGAGCAUU
rnacentral:lncRNA from 1 species